rnacentral:lncRNA from 1 species
AGGGCCUCCGUAUUGAAACGAGCGACAUACUCUCUGAGUGAUUCGCCCCCUCUCUGUCUUACUGUCUCCAAGUAGCUCGUCUUCCUCUCUGCUGGCACCCCGGCUAUGAAUCGACUGAUGAAGCGAGUGGCUAGGUCUCCGAAACUUCUGAUACUUCCGGCCUCAAGGCUGUUGAACCACGCCCGCGCUGGUCCCGAGAGCGUCGUUGGAAACACUUUACACAUUAAG